UACGAAGGGGGCUAGCGUUGCUCGGAAUCACUGGGCGUAAAGCGCACGUAGGCGGAUCCUUAAGUCAGGGGUGAAAUCCUGGAGCUCAACUCCAGAACUGCCUUUGAUACUGGGAGUCUUGAGUUCGGGAGAGGUGAGUGGAACUGCGAGUGUAGAGGUGAAAUUCGUAGAUAUUCGCAAGAACACCAGUGGCGAAGGCGGCUCACUGGCCCGAUACUGACGCUGAGGCACGAAAGCGUGGGGAGCAAACAGG
rnacentral:rRNA from 1 species